ACCACGGCGACGGCAUAUAACCGGCCUUUUCGGUCUUGCUUUUCGGUAAGGCGCUGCCUCUUUGUGAGCUCACGGCGACGGCAUCUAACCGGCCGUGUAGCUCCGCUUUGUAGUGUGGGUUUUUUGGUUGGUUUCACGGCGACGGCGUCUAACCGGCUGUGUUUCUUGGUCUUUUUGUUUUGUGUUUGUUUUUUGUUGGCCUUUAGGCGACGGCGUUUAACCGGCCUUUGGCCUUUGUUUUGUUUUCUUGGGUGGAGAGCCGGGUUUGUUUGGGGACGAUGGUUAGGCCGGAGUUCUGGAAACUUUCCCUUCCGCUCUCUCCCUUUUCUGCUUUUGUCUUUUAGACGGGUACUCUUUUUCCUUUUUGCGGUUUUUCCCACUGGGUUUUCUGCAAAAAGGUUUUAAUGAGGCUCGGCCCUUAGUCUGCUUUUCUUGUGCUUUCAAGGGUUUUCUAGGUUUUUUCUUUUUUCCUUUUUUAAUAAAAUCGCAUUUUAA
rnacentral:lncRNA from 1 species